rnacentral:rRNA from 1 species
GAUGAACGCUGGCGGCGUGCCUAAUACAUGCAAGUCGAGCGAACAGACGAGGAGCUUGCUCCUCUGACGUUAGCGGCGGACGGGUGAGUAACGCGUGGAUAACCUCCCUAUAAGACUGGGAUAACUUCGGGAAACCGGAGCUAAUACCGGAUAAUAUAUUGAACCGCAUGGUUCAAUAGUGAAAGACGGUUUUGCUGUAACUAAUAGAUGGAUCUGGGCCGCAUUAGCUAGUUGUUAAGGUAACGGCUUACCAAGGGAACGAUGCGUAGCCGACCGGACGGGGGGAUAGGCCGCACGGGAGCGGAGACAGGGUCCAGGCUCCUACGAGAGGCAGCAGAAGGGAACCUGAGGCAAUGGGGGAAAGCAUGACGGAGCAACGCGGCGUGAGUGACAAAGAUCUCGGGAUCGGAAAAACCGGUUAUGGGGGAAGAACAAAUUUGGAAGUAACUAUGCAGGUCGUGACGGUAACUAAUCAGAAAGCAACGGCUAACUACGUG